rnacentral:rRNA from 2 species
UGGGGAAUCUUGCGCAAUGCGCGAAAGCGUGACGCAGCAACGCCGCGUGGGGGAAGACGGCCUUCGGGUUGUAAACCCCUUUCAGGAGGGACGAAGGUUCACCGGUGAAUAGCCGUGUGGAUUGACGGUACCUCCACAAGAAGCACCGGCUAACUACGUGCCAGCAGCCGCGGUAAUACGUAGGGUGCAAGCGUUGUCCGGAAUCAUUGGGCGUAAAGCGCGCGUAGGUGGCUUCGUAAGUCCGUUGUGAAAGUCAAAGGCUCAACCUUUGAACGCCGAUGGAUACUGCGGAGCUAGAGUACGGAAGAGGCGAGUGGAAUUCCUGGUGUAGCGGUGGAAUGCGCAGAUAUCAGGAGGAACACCAAUAGCGAAGGCAGCUCGCUGGGACGUUACUGACACUAAGGCGCGAAAGCGUGGGGAGCGAACAGG